ensembl:lncRNA novel transcript
GGCACUUGAUCCAAAGAGAGCCUCUGAAAUGGCUGCACCCGAUAUCUCAGCAGGUUACCCCAUAGAGUGUUGAGUGGGCAACUCAAUUAUUCCCUCACCUGAAGAAGUCUGAAAGCAAGACGAAGAGAGUCCUUUUGCAAGAGUGAUGUACAAAGCCCUACGGACAUACAGACUUCGUGUGCAAGUCCUGUGGAGGAGAGGAGAUGAGAGAGCAAUCGAGUCAAGGUCUCACUAGGAUGUCCAGGCUGGCCUCGAACUCCUGGGCUCAAGCAAUCCACCUGCCUUGGCCUCUGAAAGUGCAGGAAUUACAGCUGCUGUGCCCUGAGGGGUGAGGGAAAUGUGGUCGCCUAAAACACCAUCAAAGGUUGCUGCUUAAACACUUCCCUCAGCCAUAUAUGAAGGCUAAAUCAGAUAAAGAUCCCAGGAAGUGUGCAACAGGAGAACCAGUGACACAAUCCACCUUGGUAUGAGUGUCAGCCAUCUUGUCUUUCAACUGGAAAGCUAGAAGUGACAGCAUGGUAUAUUAAGAGGUCUCUGCUUGAAUAAAUUGAUGUCAAGUUUUAUUACAUAUAGACCAAGCUAGAAGGCACAAGACAACCACUCAACAACUAUGUAUUAAACAACGAAAUCAACGAAAUGGCAUACAGCAGUAUUUCAAAUUCUUGAAAUACAGAUAGGGACAGGCAAAAACUGUAUUCUCUAGAAGGCUGAAGUCAGCCAAAGAAAAUGCACAGUAAACACAAAUCGAGAUAUUUAUAAGA